rnacentral:ncRNA from 2 species
AUUCCGGGCGGAGAUGGCAUUCCUCCCGUGUAACAAACCGCCUUUGCGAAGGCUGAUGAUGCCUGCAUGAUU